UAGGGAAUCUUCCGCAAUGGACGCAAGUCUGACGGAGCAACGCCGCGUGAGUGAAGAAGGUUUUCGGAUCGUAAAACUCUGUUGUUAGAGAAGAACAAGUGCUAGAGUAACUGUUAGCGCCUUGACGGUAUCUAACCAGAAAGCCACGGCUAACUACGUGCCAGCAGCCGCGGUAAUACGUAGGUGGCAAGCGUUGUCCGGAUUUAUUGGGCGUAAAGCGAGCGCAGGCGGUUCCUUAAGUCUGAUGUGAAAGCCCCCGGCUCAACCGGGGAGGGUCAUUGGAAACUGGGGAACUUGAGUGCAGAAGAGGAGAGUGGAAUUCCAUGUGUAGCGGUGAAAUGCGUAGAUAUAUGGAGGAACACCAGUGGCGAAGGCGACUCUCUGGUCUGUAACUGACGCUGAGGCUCGAAAGCGUGGGUAGCAAACAGGAUUAGAUACCCUGGUAGUCCACGCCGUAACGAUGAGUGCUAAGUGUUGGAGGGUUUCCGCCCUUCAGUGCUGCAGUUAACGCAUUAAGCACUCCGCCUGGGGGAGUACGACCGCAAGGUUG
rnacentral:rRNA from 1 species